UUCCAAUUCUACCGUUAGUUACUGCUAGUAAGUGUAGCUAGCGGUCAGGCUAAUACCCAUCGAAAUCCCAUCAAAUAAGGACCAACAUUUUUUUAAAGAUAUUACAAAUUAGAAAUCCAUCUGUCAGCGAGGCUUACGCAGUUUGACGUUGUAUAACAGCCGAUCCUCUAUUUAGAGUAGCUAACUAACUGGGCAGGGUUGGCGAGAUAAACGCUACAUCGUAGGAAUCUGCUAAUACCGUUAGCAUGCUAAUUGUUGUCCUCUUACUAAAACAAUACAUAAGAAAGUACCGCCGAUGCCAUCGCGUUUUCCGUUUGUCCAAAUUUUAUUCUCUACAAUUUUUAUCCACUACACUUACGGGAAGCCGAGGACUGAUCUCUGCUGAGCAUCUAUGACAGAAAAACCGGCUGGGCCAUGGAGGAGCUUCAGCCAUCAUUAGCUACUAAACAGGUAAAGAGGAAAAACUACGGAGCACCGAAAAGGACAAUCAGGACACCACGCGAACUUGCUAGAAAUGACGCCGACCUUGUUGAUGUUGUGUCUGAUCUGGCCAUGUGGGAGCAGGAAAGACACGACUGUCCCAUGGGCUGAGAUUAGAGAGAGUCUGAUAGCACCGAGGUUUGCUAUGUCUGCCAGACUGAGGAGACAAUACCCAGGAAGCCCAGCAGGCUGACUUCAUUCAUGGGCAGGCUGGUGUUGGACCACGCUGUGUCCAGGCGUCCCCCGGCACAGCACUCCUCCCUGGUCACCCCUCUCAUCAGCACCAUGUCGCACCUUUGAUCUUGACUCUGCUGCAGCCAGCACAUCCCAGCUGGAGAUGGUGCCGUAACAGAUGUUAAUUAUAGGAAUAUUUAUCUUUGUUACAGGAACACUUGGGAAGUGUAUCGUGUUAUUAUGAACGAUUGUAAAUCACACUUCAUAAAUCUUGUCACAAAUCUUUGUCUUUUUAAAAAUAUUAUACCAUCUAGAACACUAUAUAUUACAUAUGUCAGGAGUUUUUAACACAUAUCAGUAGUAAAUAGCUUAUUUCGAAUUUACAAAAAUGUACAUGCAAAACAGGAGAAAAUUGGAUUGGGGUUUUGUCAAAAUCCUUCUUUCACAGCGAUCAUUUUACCAACAUUUCUGCCAUGAUUUUUAAAGCAUAGGACAUUUUGUUCAAAAUAUGGAAAAAAUGGAAAACAUCUACUCACCACUAACAGGAUUCCUCCCAAUCUGACAGAAAGCGAGAAUCACCCCCAAAACUGAAAUCAAAACGUUCAUCGUGUAUUCUGAGUUAGUUUAAAAACUUCUUCUCGAAAGGUUGUCUCAGCAAACACCUAGAAGAAAAGGUGAUGGGUCCUUUGGCAAAUCGAGCUGAUCACUCUGAGUUAACUUUGCAAGUAGCUCUGCCUUAAGUGAAUGAAUGUGUUGUGAAUAAGUGAUGUCG